rnacentral:lncRNA from 1 species
GCUGAGGGGGUAGGGCGGCCGCCCCAAACCCUAGGGUGGGCACCCUGGGGUGUCUCCCCUCCACCUCCGGUUCGGUCCAGUACCUUCGAGAGCCUUCCUGAGUAUUCUUUUCUUCUGUGUGGGUCUUUUCUCUCUAUGUAAACAGGACAUGUAGACCUUCUUUGGCUCGUGCACUGAUAACUCCUUGUGAAAACAUAAACACACCAAAACUCGUCGAAAUCUAUCAGUUAGACCCCCUACAUCUAUGGCGGUGAUUCAAUUAAGCCCUUUCUAGUUCUUGUCGACGUAUAGAAAUUGAUACUUAACGACCGUCAACAAGCUCCCCCAAGCUUACCCUUUGCUCGUCCUAGAGCAAACAGAUAAACUCAGACAGAUUAGGAGUUGCUUCAAUGUUUUCUUUCUAACAAGCACACAUGCAGUCAAAAUAAAAUUCUCCUCCUGAUUUUCACCAUGGGGUUUAGUACCUGCACUUGAGUCUUGAGCUAUUGAAGGACAAAAUAAUCAAGUCAAGCACUAUGUCUCAUGUUCUGUACUACACUUUUGUUCUGGAGUUUUUAUAAUUUUUUUUCAAAAUAAAGCUCAAAGUUCCCAAAGCAUGAUUCUCUCCAAGUUUCUCAUAUGUGGUAUUUGUGAAUCUCACCAAGGCAUUAAAAAGAUGUUGAUUGCCUUCUCACUCACCUAAUACUAAUGGAAUUUUGUGGUGUUCAUAGGUGUGGAGACAGCUCAUACAUAUUUGCAAAGUAUAUGUUGCCUAAUCAAACCAUGGAUCCAAGGAACUCGUCAUACAACUGAAUCAAGAUGUGCAUGUGUGGUGGAGUAAAUGAUAGUGAUAGUGAAAAUGUAGUGAUGAUAAUAAAAGUUUUACCUGUAAUUGCUCCUCAUAUUGAUAUUCCUCCUUUUGAUCCUUGCUUCGAGAGAACAUGGGCUAUCUUUUCUUUUUUUCUCUCUCUUUUUUCAUUUUUAGGUGGGUAGUAGCAUACCCCUAAUUCUACUAUCGGAAACUUAUCCAUUUUUUCCGCUCAGGUGGGUAUCUUUGUACCCCUAAUUUUACUUCAGACACUUGUCUAUUUUUACCUCUCGUCUCACUCUUUUUUUCUCUUUUUCUCGAGGUUCCAGGCACUUGCCCCUUUUUAUUUCCUUGGAUAUCUUUUUGCAUAGCCCAUGCCUCCUUCCGCAUUGAAUCUUUUGAAGAGAGACUAACCAUAUUUUGGGACAAAUUAGUGAUAACAAUUUUUUUAGCAUUUUUUAAUGAAUGGUGGUAGAGGCGUGCAAGUGAGUAUCUUGAUUUCAACCGCAUGAAAAGCUCCUAAGGAUCUACACAGCUUGAUCAAACUCAAUGCGAAUAUAAGUAGUAAAAAUGUGGAGUUUAUAUCAAGUAUGGCUGUGGUAGGAAUUAUCUCUCAAUCAUGCUAGGAACUCAUCAUGUGGCAUUUUUAAGUUCUCAAAAUAAAUCUCGUUGCAAGAACAAGAUAAACAUCAGCUCAAACAUUCAUAUUAUGUCUAUCAACUUACCUAGAGGCUCAUGCUCCCACAGGUAUUAAGAUCAUAUUUAGCAUUUAUUGGGAGAAGUCUAUAUUGAAAGCUAGGUACUUGAAAGAAAGUAAACAUAGCAAAUGCUCAUCAUCAAAAAAUAUAUUUUUUGAUUCAAGGCAAAAUUAAACUUUGCAAAAAUUAAAGCACACUUAUGUACACACUCUUUUUAUUUGGUUUUCAUGUUUAAGAAAUACAAAAAAAAAGGAAAAUAUUUAUUGGGUUUUCUAAGUUUUUAGAUUUUUUUUAAUUGCUGAAAAAUAGAGAAUGACUACAGAAAAACAAAUAAAGACUUACUUGGAUAAAUGGGGUAGGCACUCCCCCAAGCUAGCUGUUACUGUGCCUUGGCUUAUCGGAUGUUGAAGAAUUGCAUCAAGGAUGAUAUAUCCUGUCCUACCACUGCGUGCUCAUUCCGCAUCACUUGCAUGGCACUAGCAUGGUCCUGGUUCCACUUUUGCUGUUGUUCCAGUAACUCACCGUGUCAAGCUUGUGUCUGUUGUAUGGUAAGGAGGGUGUUG